rnacentral:rRNA from 2 species
GCCUGGCUCACACGUGCUACAAUGGAUGGUACAACGAGUUGCGAGACCGCGAGGUCAAGCUAAUCUCUUAAAGCCAUUCUCAGUUNGGACUGUAGGCUGCAACUCGCCUACACGAAGUCGGAAUCGCUAGUAAUCGCGGAUCAGCACGCCGCGGUGAAUACGUUCCCGGGCCUUGUACACACCGCCCGUCACACCAUGAGAGUUUGUAACACCCGAAGCCGGUGGCGUAACCCUUUUAGGGAGCGAGCCGUCUAAGGUGGGACAAAUGAUUAGGGUGAAGUCGUNACAAGGUAGCCGUAGGAGAACCUGCGGNUGGAUCACCUCCUA